CAAAGUUGGCCCAAGUUGUGUCCCUGGUGUGUAGUAAGUUAAGGUAAGUAGUGUCCGUGGUACACAGUGUGUAGUAAGUCAAGGUAAGUAGUGUCCGUGGUACACAGUGUGUAGUAAGUUAAGGUAAGUAGUGUCCGUGGUACAGAGUGUGUAGUAAGUGUAGUAGGGUGGAGGGAAGCAUGUGGGUGAGUGUAGAGGUGUAGUGUACUAACCAGACUCGUGUAUCUCCCCCGCUGUAGGAUGUGGUGGGUGCGUCAGGCGUGGCGUGUGCUGGUGGUGCUUGUGGCUUGGCGCCUGGUGAUGCUCAAGAGUAGUGCUGCCAGAAGAGCCUGGUACGGCCUCUUCAGGCUCCUGGUGAGACUCCUCACCUACCUGCCGCUCCUCAACAGGAUAUGAGGCACGCUGCUCUCUAGCACCCAUCUCCACCUUAACAUCGUCGUCCUUACGUGUUGGUCGUGCUUCUACACUGGCGGCGGCACCACUGCUGCCUACUUCUGUAGCCACUCUCCACUCUGCAGCCCAGACUCAUCUUAAAUGUGGCCUUCAGAGUAUUGUUAUUAGCAGCAGCAGCAGCAGCAGCUACAGCAGACAGCAGCAGCAGGAGCAGCAGACAGCAGCAGGAGCAGCAUGCGCUAUCGCCAGAUUGUGAUUAGUAGUAGAGUAGAGUGUUGCGGGAGGGUGGUGCAGACGCCAUAUACCAGAGGCAGCCACACUACUAAACAUGCCCCUAAACUGGCCCUCAACUCAACGUGUGUGUUAUGAUGCCACCAGCAAUAACAUCCUCAGCCAGCGAGUCUGCCACUCAUCACACUGUGUCAUGGUGUCACAGUGUGAUGUCCCUGGGUCGUGCCAUGACUGGCCUUGUGUCAGGUGUCAUGGUGUCGCCCCCAUGUUAGUGGCAUGACUCAGUCCUCAGUAGAGGAGUGUAGUGGUGAGCAAGAAGCCUGAUCUACGUAGCCGGACUCCACAUAUUGUCGAGUCUAAAUACCUACUUUGAUCACUUUGCAGAUCACUGCUAAAAUGUAGAUUAUAAACUAGCCAGAUUUUAGGAAAAUAACAACAUAUAUAUAUAUAUAUAUAUAUAUAUAUAUAUAUAUAUAUAUAUAUAUAUAUAUAUGUGGGUGUGUGUGUGGGUGGGAGGGGAUAGAAGAGAGGCGAGUUGUAGUGUAGGGAGAGAGUGUAGUAGGGGAGGCGCGUGUAGUAUAGGGCAGGGUGAGCCCCCCACGUCACGUGACCACACUGUGUUGAGCCGGGGGGGGGCAGCUUCACCCUCACCUCACUCACUUUCCUCUCAAAAUGAACCUUAAUAAUCAACAUUUCUCACUAACUACCCGUAAGAUUCUUCUCUUAAUUAGUGGUCCUCUGACUAAACUCAGUUUGGAAUGUGGCUGAGAUUUAUCGCCUUUAUUAUGCAAGUAUUUAAGGGUGAGUGAUUACCAGUUGAUAAUGUUCGUACAAGUUAAUGCCGCACAAAGGAUGAAGACGUGGCCAGGCUGGUGAGAGUGCCUGCCUCAGGGAGGAGCUGGUGUCCACCUCCCAAGGUCUUCACACUCACACAAGACACAUGGCCUCUUGAAGGAUACAUAAAUUAAGAAGAAAAACCUCUUAGUUUUGAAUAAAUUUAAGUUAAUGGGGAUAAAACAAAGUUUCGUUAACAAUUCAAGACAUUAACCUGAAACUAUCGUUGAUAUCACUGUUAAGAGACCAGCAAACGUGUAUUUUAUUUUUGUCGGUUAUUUUAUUAUUGGAAUACAUUAGUUAUCUGUUUUUUAAUUUAAUUUGUAUGUUUAAUAGUUUUUGUUACGAGGAAUGCUUGAAGUUUGAGAUGGAAUAAUGUGACAUUCCGCGAGCCUCACAUUCUUGGCAAGAUGUCUUCCGUCAGUCACCAGCACACAGCACCUCUCACCACUCACCUCUCACCACUCACCUCUCACCACUCACCUCUCACCACUCACCUCUCACCACUCACCUCUCACACUCUACCAGUUUGUUGAGAGCAACAAGUUGCAAUCCUUAUUUUGUAUAAUCUUUGCCUCUCUAACUUGAGUAUUUAGAUGAAAACCUCCAACCUCUGCAAUAUUAAUAAUGUAAUUACUAUCCUCUGGCAUAUAUAUAUAUAUAUAUAUAUAUAUAUAUAUAUAUAUAUAUAUAUAUAUAUAUAUAUAUAUAUAUAUAUAUAUAUAUAUAUAUAUAAAUUAUUGUUUAUAGUGCACAAGAAAACUACAAAUUGAGUGUUUGAAAUUGACAAGGCGGUAACGAGUAGUUUAUCCUUAAAACAGCCCUAAUGAGGGAAGUCACAGUCUUGUCCACCCACACUGAUACAAGCCAGGUCAUUGACAGUGUCACUGAUACAAGCCAGGUCAUUGACAGUGUCACUGAUACAAGCCAGGUCAUUGACAGUGUCACUGAUACAAGCCAGGUCAUUGACAGUGUCACUGAUACAAGCCAGGUCAUUGACAGUGUAUCUCUCAACCUGCACACACUACUACUCAAUUUACCUUGGAUAAUACUAAUGUUAUACUGUAUCUGUAUUUGUAAUUGAUUUUUUAUGUAAAACUUUGUAAUUAUUUCUAAUUGUUGCUUACAAUGUAUUAUUCAUAUACAGGUACAAUUAAUUGUUUAAAUUUAGUAUAUAAAUUCAGUUUUAUGUUUUGUCUUGACGAAUGCUUAGUAUCUGAGGUUGGUUGAAGAAAUGAAUCUAAACAUUACAAGGAUGAUGGCACCUUGAUGGCACUCUUAACAACUAUGACGUAAAGAUUGAUUAGCAAGUAAAGCUUGCUGAGAAGUUAAAGGCUCAUUAUAGUAUAACUUAAUUUUCUAAACUGCUUCAAACAUGAUAAAGCUUCAGACAGUUUACAGUUUAUAUUUAUGGAAACUAUUUAAUGGGAAGAGAGUGUGCGGGAUGACUUGGUGUACAUGCCCAGUGGUCGGGAGGGAGGGAGGGAGGGAGGCUGUUCACUCCUUCAGGCCGGCAUCCCUACACUUGCUUCUCUUCUUUAUCCAUUGCUUCCUUGUACAUUUCCUCUCUCUCUCUCUCUCUCUCUCUCUCUCUCUCUCUCUCUCUCUCUCUCUCUCUCUCUCUCUCUCUC